rnacentral:rRNA from 1 species
UAGGGAAUAUUAGAAAUGGACGAAAGUCUGAUCUAGCAACACCGCGUGUGCGAAGAAGGCCUACGGGUCGUAAAGCACUUUUUGGAAGGAAUAGGAAGGAAUGUACUUCCAGAAUAAGUCUCGGCUAACUACGUGCCAGCAGCCGCGGUAACACGUAGGAGGCGAACGUUAUCCGGAUUUACUGGGCGUAAAGCGCGUGUAGGUGGUACUGUAAGUAGGGCGUGAAAGCUCCUGGCUCAACUGGGAGAGGCCGUUCUAAACUACAGAACUAGAGGAUGGUAGAGGGAGGUGGAAUUCCAGGUGUAGCGGGGGAAUGCGCAGAUAUCUGGAGGAACACCGGUGGCGAAGGCGGCCUCCUGGACCAUUCCUGACACUCAGACGCGAAAGCUAGGGUAGCAAACGG